rnacentral:rRNA from 1 species
UACAGAGGGGGCAAGCGUUGUUCGGAAUUACUGGGCGUAAAGGGCGCGUAGGCGGCCUGCUAAGUCGAACGUGAAAUCCCUGGGCUCAACCCAGGAACUGCGUCCGAUACUGGUUGGCUUGAAUCCGGGAGAGGGAUGUGGAAUUCCAGGUGUAGCGGUGAAAUGCGUAGAUAUCUGGAGGAAAACCGGUGGCGAAGGCGACAUCCUGGACCGGUAUUGACGCUGAGGCGCGAAAGCUAGGGUAGCAAACGGG